rnacentral:lncRNA from 1 species
CUGGUAAAUUUUGUCAUUAAAAUUCAUUACUCUUCUUAGUAGACAGUAGUGACACUCCUGCUUUAUAAUAUUGGGGUUAUUUUGAGAACCUGGUUUUUUAUGAGAGCCAGUUGGUUUCAUUCAUGUGGUUGUAGGAGGGAAUGGUGAGACCCCAAAAAGUAGCAUAUGCCUGGAGGGUUAGGGUCAGGAGUGUAAAUGUUAGUUUACCAUGGGAGCAGGAUGUUUUCCUUAAAUAAUUUCCAUCACCCAACUACUCUAUUAAACAAAUGACUUCUUAGGUACCAGCAUCAGAAAAAUAGAAGCAGAGCUUCUUGCCUUAACAGAUAGCUCUCUUCCCCAAAAGCCUAAGAGAGGAGCUCAUUUUGAAACUAGGGCUAGAUUAGCACUGUAGCCACCAAGGCUGCCAGCAGCAUCUCUUCUGCCAGCUCAGGAGAACAGAAGCGCCCAUCCCAACAUUUCCCUGGCCAGCCUGGCCAGCAGGGAGCUUCCAGCAGGUCCAGAACUGACACACUGUGGCCAUGACCAUCAGAGAGAAACGAUUACAAACCAGCCAGCAGCGGGAUCUGCAUCCCCCUCACCACCCAACUCUGGACAAGCACAUAAAAGGUAUUCAGUUAAAAAAAAAAAAAAAAGGUACUCAGUAAAACCUUUCAACUGACCCUAGCCCACAUUCUCAACCCCUCCCCU